rnacentral:lncRNA from 1 species
CGCAGCCGGGCCUCCUCCCGCAGCCGCUCCGGGGCCCGCGACCGGGCCUCCUCCCGCAGCCGCUCCUCGUCGCGAAGCCGGGCCUCGCCCCGCAGGCGGCGCAGCUUGUUGCGGUAGACGUCCCGAGUGGUGUCGGUGAUGGGUCCUGGCUGGAAGCCCAGGGCCUGCAGCUCCCGCCGCAACUCCAGGUCCGACAAACCGGCCAUGGCCAGGACGCCGCCCCCGGCGCGUAGCGCACCCGGAACUGCUCCCGCCGGCGACCGCGGCAAGGCGGGCGGGGCCGCGCGCCAUGAUGAGAAGGUUGAGGAGAUAAAGUGUGGUUACCUGCUAGAAGAAUUAAACCUCGACAUGAGCCACAAAAGAGUCAGACUCAAUCUGAGUCCUCCGGUGGAAAAAAUGAGAGUGGUGCCACUACAGCACCAGCCUUGGAUAAUAAUCAGGAACAUUCAGAAAGCACAACCCCCAAUUUAG